CCCUCGGAGCUGCUGUGUGAGGAGCAGGCAGUGGCAGCUUAUGGAUGGUUCCCUCUCUGGGUGAUCCUCAGGCCUGAAGGAGUGCUGGGCUUACGCUGUGGGAGUGCUGGAGUGCACUGAAGCUGUCAGUAAGACUCCUCCCUCGGAAUCUCCUUCAUCACCAUGGCAACAGCCUUAUCUGCCGCCCUAGAGCCUUUCCCCUACAACAGCGAAAUCAACAAUGGCGCGAGUCAGCAGCGAGCCUGGCAACAACCGCUUCCCAAAAACACACCCCAGCACCAUCCAGUCGUUAAACGGACGGCGUUUACGGCUGGAAGCAAAGCUUGGUUGAAAGCAGAAUACACAAACACCGUUUAAAAAUAAAUAAUGAUAAAUUAUCUGUGAACCCGUUAGUUAACAACGCGGUCGGGGUCUAGCCGUAGUCUUGUGACUUGUUGGAGUUGCCCCAAUGAAGUCAACGGGAAUACGGCACUGCCUUGCUGGGGCAAGACUGGCUGGAAAUACUCCAGUGCGAACGGAAGGAUUUGGACCUUCUGCAGGAUAGGAUCUCCAUAGGAGUAAGGUCUGGAGGAUCAGCCCCUUGAUUUAAUUUUAGUUACCCAGAAGUUUAGAUCUGAAAUACCUGGUUUUUCCUUACAAAUAGCAUCAAGCUGAUUUUGCAAAUAAAGCACAGUUCCUUGUAUUUCACUGAGGCAAACUCUCCCUGAAAUUUGAAUGUAUAACCUGUAGGGCUGGGCCUGCAGCGUUUAUAGCUCUAGUAACAUUUUAAAAAGCAAUUUACAUCAUAUAAACAGUCUGGUGGUUUGCUAACAGAAUAGAUGGAGCCAAAUUCUGCCAUCAUAGGCAUUGCUACAGUUCUCCCAAAAAUGGUCACUGUUGUUAAACUUACUGUAAGGAUUUUUUUUAAACUUCACUUUUCUUAAAACUCACUUAAUAUAUUGCAAAUAUUCAGGACAAAGUUAAAAUAUUUUAACGUUAUUUAACAUUUUAGCCAAACAAAAAAUGCACUAACAUUAUGUGCCACAGUCUCUUUGAAGUCAUACUCUUCAUUUAAAAACGGUAUUCAUCUUCUUGAAUUCACAUGGAUUUCUGUAUUUUGAUCUCUUACGCUCUUGCAAGUGACAGAGAAAGUCUGAGCGUACGCAUAAAGCAUAGCAGCAGAACUGUAUUGUGCUAGUGACCCUGGGCAUGUCCUUACUAUUACACUUUAAAAGCUCCCAUUGAUUUCCAUGGAAGUUUUAGCUGUGCAAAGACUGCAGGAUCUGGCUCCAUAAAAGCAGUAUUUUACACUAGACAAAUAUAUUUAAAUACUUAAAAGUCUAUUGACAGAAGGGGUUCUUUAGUACCACAUCAUAUACUAGAAUUACUUUCACUAGCACUGUAUUCUUUGUCCAAUAAAAAACCACUAUUGCUUAUACUGAA